CUAAAUAGGCAAUGAUGUUUAACUGGUGGGAGGGGCUAAACAGACAGUGAUGUAGAACUGGUGGGCGGGGCUAAACAGGCAGUGAUGUAGAAUUGAAAACAGGUAGUGAUGUAGAAUCAGUGGGUGGGGCUAAACAGGCAGUGAUGUAGAACUGGUGGGCGGGGCUAAACAGGCAGUGAUGUUGAAUUGAAAACAGGUAGUGAUGUAGAAUCAGUGGGUGGGGCUAAACAGGCAGUGAUGUAGAACUGGUGGGCGGGGCUAAACUGGCAGUGAUGUAGAAUCAGUGGGUGGGGCUAAACAGGUAGUGAUGUAGAACUGGUGGGCGGGGCUAAACAGGCAGUGAUGUAGAACUGGUGGGCGGGGCUAAACUGGCAGUGAUGUAGAAUCAGUGGGUGGGGCUAAACAGGCAGUGAUGUAGAACUGGUGGGCGGGGCUAAACAGGCAGUGAUGUUGAAUUGAAAACAGGUAGUGAUGUAGAAUCAGUGGGUGGGGCUAAACAGGUAGUGAUGUAGAACUGGUGGGCGGGGCUAAACAGGCAGUGAUGUAGAACUGGUGGGCGGGGCUAAACUGGCAGUGAUGUAGAAUCAGUGGGUGGGGCUAAACAGGCAGUGAUGUAGAAUCGAAAACCAGUAGUGAUGUAGAAUUGGUGGGCGGGGCUAAACAGGCAGUGAUGUAGAAGCAAGUGUUGAUGUUCUGUGGAGGCGAGGCUUAUCCACACUAAUACAUCAUAAC